rnacentral:rRNA from 1 species
CGAACGGUAACGCGGGGCAACCUGGCGACGAGUGGCGAACGGGUGAGUAAUAUAUCGGAACGUGCCCAGUAGUGGGGGAUAGCCCGGCGAAAGCCGGAUUAAUACCGCAUGAGACCUGAGGGUGAAAGCGGGGGAUCGCAAGACCUCGCGCUAUUGGAGCGGCCGAUAUCAGAUUAGCUAGUUGGUGGGGUAAAGGCCUACCAAGGCAACGAUCUGUAGUUGGUCUGAGAGGACGACCAGCCACACUGGGACUGAGACACGGCCCAGACUCCUACGGGAGGCAGCAGUGGGGAAUUUUGGACAAUGGGCGCAAGCCUGAUCCAGCAAUGCCGCGUGCAGGAAGAAGGCCUUCGGGUUGUAAACUGCUUUUGUCAGGGAAGAAAUCUUCUGGGUUAAUACCUCGGGAGGAUGACGGUACCUGAAGAAUAAGCACCGGCUAACUACGUGCCAGCAGCCGCGGUAAUACGUAGGGUGCGAGCGUUAAUCGGAAUUACUGGGCGUAAAGCGUGCGCAGGCGGCUUUGCAAGACAGAUGUGAAAUCCCCGGGCUCAACCUGGGAACUGCAUUUGUGACUGCAAGGCUAGAGUACGGCAGAGGGGGAUGGAAUUCCGCGUGUAGCAGUGAAAUGCGU